UACGAAGGGUGCUAGCGUUGCUCGGAAUCACUGGGCGUAAAGGGUGCGUAGGCGGUUCUUUAAGUCAGGGGGGAAAUCCUGGAGCUCAACUCCAGAACUGCCUUUGAUACUGAGGAUCUUGAGUUCGGGAGAGGUGAGUGGAACUGCGAGUGUAGAGGUGAAAUUCGUAGAUAUUCGCAAGAACACCAGUGGCGAAGGCGGCUCACUGGCCCGAUACUGACGCUGAGGCACGAAAGCGUGGGGAGCAAACAGG
rnacentral:rRNA from 1 species